UUGUGAAUCACGUGAAUUUGUGAAUUGUUUUGUGCAGUGUUACUUUAACGGGAAAUUGAUUCACCUUUUCUCUGUGUUUGCCUUUGAUACCAUUUAGCAAAGUAAUGAUAUUAAUGCGAUGUUAACCUCAAAAUUGGCAAAUACAUUAGGCGGAAGAAGUAGAGAGAGUUUUUGGCAUUGUAGCACCAUUCAGUUGGUAACAAAACUGCAAAAAAUGGUCCCAACAUUAGAAGAUGGUAAAUUGUUAACCAAGCUUUAUUUGGGGAAGGAAAUACAAACAGUGGUUUCAGCAGUUCUGCAGAAGGAAGAUACUCAAACCAAACAUCAGUGAAAGCCAGAGGAAACAAAAAGCAGGCACAGUCAUGCUGAAUGCCUCUUGCUGUUCAGUCCCUGCCAAUCCAGGCUUCAUCUGAGCUGACCAGCAUGGGCUGCAGUCCCCAGUUGUAGUACUAUGAUCAAGUGAUAUUAUUGCAUUAGAGGAAUUUUGGAGGAGGAAGUUUCUGUGCAGAGAAACUGAAGAAAGGUCUGUUCCUGCAGACCACGAAUCAAACCCUCCAAACCAUGCAUCGCUUUCAUGCCCAGACUUCCUCUGAAGAUGCCUGGCGUUGCAUAACCAUGAUAAAGAGAAAGGGAAGAGACAACCUGAGCAAGUGAAUAAAAGCACCACUGAAGCCCACAUGGUCAGACCUGAGAGAAGCAAAGUAACUAACAAGCAACAUAAUGAGAUACAAUUAACACGUACAGAGAAGCCCAGCAAAUUUGAGUUGAGUGUCUGUCACCUAUAAUGCAACAACUGUGUCAUAAGGUUAUCACCUCAGUAAAGAAAAAAACCCCCACUAGUCAACAGGUUCAACUUCAGCAACCCCGGCUCCACUUUAGGACCUUAACAGAACAUUGUGUUGAGUAAUGUGUUGCGCCACGAGAUCAAAGAAGAUAGCAGUGUCUGACUCGGCCUGCACAGACUCACAACCAUAAUGGCUAAGAUUUAAAGGCAGACACCUGUGAUGUUUCUUCCUGCUUCACAAGGAAUAGGUUAUAAACUAUGGAUUAACCUGCCAGCAAGUUUUCAGUCACUUAAACUAAACUGCUCCUGUCAGACUAAUUUCUAGUACAAUUUUAAUGACAGUUUAUCUACCUUCUUUGUUUGCUUUUCACUUAUUAGCUGGUUUGCUCAAAAUCAAUUUAUCAUGGAUCUCCUAUGUGUUUGCAGGACUGAAGUUUCACACGUGUGAAAUCUAUGACUUUAAAACUUAACAGCACUUAGGCCAAACAUGGAACAAUGAACUGUCACUGGUCAGAGAAAAUAACAUGCUUCAGCAUGUAAAAUACGCGGUCCCAUCCUUCCAAGACACUACCCAACCUGCUGGUUUAUGUCAAAAUCAGCGACUGGGCACACUCGCAUGGGAAGCAUGCGUGGGUGCUGAUUUAACAAGCUAAGCAAUGACUCACCUCCAUACACUGGACAGCAGGAGCCACAGGUUCUUUUGUUUAAUGUUAAUAUAGAAAGUACAUUAUAAUUAACAUUAAAUACC